AUGUUCAUUUUCCAUUGGUGCAAUUUAAAUCUACCUCUCUCUUUCACGGGUUCUCUACAACCUGCUUCUCUUUCUCUCUCUCUUUCCACAGUUCUUUCAUUUUCUCUCAACCCCUUUCUUUUUUCCCUUCAAACCCUAGCGGGUUCGUCACUAUCAUCGGUGCUUCCCGGUGUUGCACGACUAUCUCCACCACAAACCGUCUCCUUUCCCUUUUAAAUCGAUCUACGAUUCAUAAUAAUGAAUAUAAAGAGAAAGGAAGAGAUCUGUUAGAGACAUGGAUAUGAGUUUUCUUAUUCAAGUUACUAAAAGCUCUUGGAGUUUGGCGCGAAUUUUCAACUGUCUUAAGCCUCGCAUGCAUUGUCGCUAAAAGAUGGUAAUGUCUUAUUACUCUUUUUGUUAUUCAUGUUCAUGUUUUUAGAAAUUGUACUUAAUGAUUGAUAAAAAUUUAUUCAAGAAGACAUUGCUAGAGUAUAGGCAUGUCUAAUUUCUAACACUCUUACUUGACAACGAGUAUUACAAUGCUACCAUGUGUAUUUUCCGAUUUACUUGUGUUUUAAGGUGGAUUCAGAACAGUAAUCCCGUAUAUGCAUGUCUGCCACAACCUGUAUUUACUAUUUUCAUUUCAUUCGGAAGCAACGAUACGUGUAUGGAACCAUGAUAGACAGCAUUGCUAAAGUAACUGGGAUUAUUAAAUUUGGAGGAAAUGUUCAAGGUCUCUAUGACUUGGGACCAAGAAGGUUUGGCUCUGAGGCUAUUUAUGGUUUGAUUUUUGUUUUUCUUAAUCUUUUGUUUAACUUGAAUACCGUAGGAAAUCAUUCGUGCACAUUAUAGAUGCGAAAAUAAUUUCAUGUUGCUCACUGCAGAGACUAGAUGUUACUGAUCAUGUUGCUUAUUUUGUACAUUUUUAUUCAUGAUCUGUUAAAGAACACUCAACUAUAUGUUUCUCUUAGCAUGUUCUUUUGUGUUGUUAAUUGAUGCAUUGUCUAGACUAAUGUUGAGUUGCUAUUAUCCUGGCAGUACUGGUCAUAUAAAGAGUUAGAAAAUGACAAUGCUUAAAUUGUUAUAUGAUGUGAAUUGUUGAGCUUGAACAAAGUUGCAUGGGUUCCAGUCACUUUAUUAUUCUGAUGCGAUGUUGUAAAGCAAAUCCCUCAAAAACGGUUUAUGGUUCUAAAAAGAAAAUAAAAAUGGAUGUCUGACUCUGAACUAGCCUUUCUCAUUAUGUAGAUUUAUCUACUCGCCUAACAAAUUAUAAGUUUUUCAACUCUAAUGAUUGGUGCAGUCAAGCAACAUCAUCAUACAACAAUGGAAAACACGGUAAUUUAUACGCCUGGAAUGGAUAGCAAAUAUGAUCAUUUGAUGUUAAAAAAGUAACAGAAAGUGAAAAGAAAACCCAAACUAAAGAAAUUCGGUUAUGAAGCUGAAGGUUUGGAAAUGGCUUCUACCGUAUCUGUGGCUUCUGCAAUAUGUUGUUGUUCUACUAAAUCUGUAAGUUAGUUGGUUCCAAGUUUAUGAUAAUACUUUCCGAGUCAAAUGCAAUAUAACACUUUUUUUCUUGAUAAAA